AAACUUAAAGGAAUUGACGGGGCCGCACAAGCGGUGGAGCAUGUGGUUAAUUCGAAGCAACGCGAAGAACCUUACCAGGUCUUGACAUCCCGAUGCUAUUUCUAGAGAUAGAAAGUUACUUCGGUACAUCGGUGACAGGUGGUGCAUGGUUGUCGUCAGCUCGUGUCGUGAGAUGUUGGGUUAAGUCCCGCGACGAGCGCAACCCUCGACCUUAGUUGCCGGCAUUCAGUUGGGCACUCUAAGGUGACUGCCGGCUAAAAGUCGGAGGAAGGUGGGGAUGACGUCAAAUCAUCAUGCCCCUUAUGACCUGGGCUACACACGUGCUACAAUGGGCGGUACAAAGGGUCGCGAACCCGCGAGGGGGAGCCAAUCCCAAAAAGCCGCUCUCAGUUCGGAUUGCAGGCUGCAACUCGCCUGCAUGAAGCCGGAAUCGCUAGUAAUCGCGGAUCAGCAUGCCGCGGUGAAUACGUUCCCGGGCCUU
rnacentral:rRNA from 1 species